rnacentral:sRNA from 1 species
UUGCUAUCUGCGAUAUGGAAGAUUCGAACCUGCCGCAGGUUCGGGUCGAACGCAGUGAGACAACGGAGCCGUUUACGGCGACGGCCCGAAGGGCGAGCGAAGCGAGUCAUCCUGCACGCCCCACCA